GUGUGUCGUCAGCUCGUGUCGUGAGAUGUUGGUUAAGUCCGUAACGAGCGCAACCCUUGUCCUUAGUUACCAGCACGUUAUGUGGGCACUCUAAGGAGACUGCCGGUGACAAACCGGAGGAAGGUGGGGAUGACGUCAAGUCAUCAUGGCCCUUACGGCCUGGGCUACACACGUGCUACAAUGGUCGGUACAAAGGGUUGCCAAGCCGCGAGGUGGAGCUAAUCCCAAUAAAACCGAUCGUAGUCCGGAUCGCAGUCUGCAACUCGACUGCGUGAAGUCGGAAUCGCUAGUAAUCGUGAAUCAGAAUGUCACGGUGAAUACGUUCCCGGGCCUU
rnacentral:rRNA from 1 species